AGAGUUUGAUCCUGGCUCAGGACGAACGCUGGCGGCGUGCCUAAUACAUGCAAGUCGAGCGAAUCUUAAGGUGCUUGCACCUUUUGGUUAGCGGCGGACGGGUGCGUAACACGUGGGCAACCUGCCCUGGGGUGGGGGAUAGCCGUGGGAAACCGCGGGUAAUUCCGCAUACGUUCGGGUCUCGGCCGGAGAUCUGAAGAAAGGGCGCAAGCCCGCCCGAGGAGGGGCCUGCGGCCGAUUAGCUAGACGGUGGGGUAACGGCUUACCAAGGCGAUGAUCCGUAGCCGGCCUGAGAGGGCGGUCGGCCACACUGACACUGACAUACGGGUCAGACUCCUACGGGAGGCAGCAGUCGGGAAUUUUGGGCAAUGGGCGAAAGCCUGACCCAGCAACGCCGCGUGAAGGAUGAAAUCCUUCGGGAUGUAAACUUCGCAAGAACGGGAAGAAUAAGUCUGCGCAAAUAUCGCAGAUGAUGACGGUACCGUUUGUAAGCUCCGGCUAACUCCGUGCCAGCAGCCGCGGUAAUACGGGGGGAGCAAGCGUUAUCCGGAUUUAUUGGGCGUAAAGCGCGCGUAGGCGGCCGACCACGUCGGAUGUGAAAGCUCAGGGCUCAACCCUGAGAGGCCAUUCGAUACGGGUCGGCUAGAGGCAGGUAGGGGAGAAUGGAAUUCCUGGUGUAGCGGUGAAAUGCGCAGAUAUCAGGAGGAACACCGGUGGCGAAGGCGGUUCUCUGGGCCUGUUCUGACGCUGAGGUGCGAAAGCUGGGGGAGCAAACAGGAUUAGAUACCCCGGUAGUCC
rnacentral:rRNA from 1 species